UUCAUCCAGACAUUUUACCCUGCAGCCCAAGACCGGUUACUCACUGAAGCUAAGCAGGGCUGAGCCUGGUUAGUACCUGGAUGGGAGACCACUAGGGAACACAAGGUUGCUGUUGGAA
rfam:Danio rerio chromosome 8, GRCz11 reference primary assembly.